UUUUGGCGUUUGACUGGGGGGUAAACAAUAUUUCAAAGUUGAAAAAUAAUACCUGGCAACGUUCUGCCAUUCUCAAUAAAAGUCUAGCAGAGGAGACGAACAUAAAAUGUUUCGCCUGUUUUUAGCGCUCAUUUCGCUUUUUAUGUUGGGGUGUUUUGCAAGCUCGUCCAACAAGGCAAGUUUUAAUUUGACCUUAGGAAUGCGUCUAGGAGCAUUUUUUCUGUUCACGGGUCGAUGAUUUGAUUUCUCACCCUAAAGUCAACACUGAGAACUCGUGAAAACUUAGACUAUCUAAAAUUCUGCGCAUUGAUCAAAAAUCCUUUUAAUUGAUAGCUUUUCCAGUGUAUGUUUUCAGGUUUCUACAAACAGGACACAGCAAAACCAGUCCGGGYUAAAAGAAUGCUGCUGUCGCGACGGAAAAGAUGGUCGUGACGGGCGCGAUGGAAGAGACGGAGUAAAGGGCGAAAAAGGUGAGAGCGGUUCGCCAGGAAAAGACGGAAUACCCCAUCACGGAGCGAUUAAGUUUGGCGACACUGCUGACAUCUGCAUACUGAGCACUACUGGAACAGUUCGCUACAGUACUUCCCAGAAUGCUUUACAACUCUGCGAUGGCAACGCUUGGUUAUCAGUGGUUACUGCUGGUUUAGGUCACGUGGCCUAUAACCCAGGCAGUCACUGUUUGGAUAUUCUAGAUUCUGGUGAGUUUCUAAUGGAAUAAUAUAUUAAAAUAUUAGAUUGUAAAGAACUACGAGUUACAGAGGAAGAUCAUAAAAAAAGCCUUUCAAAAUGCACAAAACAAGAGCCCAGUGAUGGGCAAUGUCAUAAAUUUCCUGAUCCAUUUCUGUUGCCGGAGACUUCGCGUUUGUGCUCUACAGUUAUUUCUAAUCAGAUAAUUAGCCUUGGCCUCAUGACAGGAGACAAUGUAUACAUUAAACUUACAUAGAUUAAUUGACUCUCUUUAUUGUUACCUAGCAAUGACCAAUCAUAUCGUCUAUUGUUAUGUAGCUAGCUAGAGUUUAGUUGAAUCUAACAUGCGCUCUCAUUGGUUGCAAUGGCUAUGGCUAAAUCUAAAUGUGGCCUGCUCUCCCACUAACCACUAACCAGUGGUAACUUCGACUUUGGGUAAUUUUUCUUGUUUCAAAACUCCAGCUAUAUAACAAAACAUUCAGUUAAUUCCUGAUCCCUUAUGGAACAGUUAGCUUUGUCGAAA